rnacentral:rRNA from 1 species
GGGUCAUUAGGUUGGUCGUGCCACCGGUACGUACUGGACUCACUGAUUCCUCCUUCCUGAAGAACCGUAAUGCCAUUAAUUUGGUGUUGCGGGGAAACAGGACUGUUACUUUGAAAAAAUUAGAGUGUUUAAAGCAAGCUAACGCUUGAAUACAUUAGCAUGGAAUAAUGAAAUAGGACGAUCGAUCCUAUUUUGUUGGUUUCUAGGAUUGACGUA